GUGCUUGCUUCAGCAGCACAUAUACUAAAAUUAGAAUUAUACAGAGAAGAGCAUGGCCACUGCAUAAGGAUGACACUCUAAUUCGUGAAGCGUUCCAUAUUUUA